GACGAACGCUGGCGGCGUGCUUAACACAUGCAAGUCGAACGGAAAGGCCCUGCUUUUGUGGGGUGCUCGAGUGGCGAACGGGUGAGUAACACGUGAGUAACCUGCCCUUGACUUUGGGAUAACUUCAGGAAACUGGGGCUAAUACCGGAUAGGAGCUCCUGCUGCAUGGUGGGGGUUGGAAAGUUUCGGCGGUUGGGGAUGGACUCGCGGCUUAUCAGCUUGUUGGUUGGGUAGUGGCUUACCAAGGCUUUGACGGGUAGCCGGCCUGAGAGGGUGACCGGCCACGUUGGGACUGAGAUACGGCCCAGACUCCUACGGGAGGCAGCAGUGGGGAAUAUUGCACAAUGGGCGGAAGCCUGAUGCAGCAACGCCGCGUGCGGGAUGACGGCCUUCGGGUUGUGUACCGCUUUCGCCUGUGACGAAGCGUGAGUGACGGUAAUGGGUAAAGAAGCACCGGCUAACUACGUG
rnacentral:rRNA from 1 species